AGAGUUUGAUCCUGGCUCAGGACGAACGCUGGCGGCGUGCCUAACACAUGCAAGUCGAGCGAUGAAAUCCCUUCGGGGAUGGAUUAGCGGCGGACGGGUGAGUAACACGUGGGUAACCUGCCUCAAAGAGGGGGAUAGCCCCCCGAAAGGGAGAUUAAUACCGCAUAACAUUAGUUUUUCGCAUGAAGAACUAAUUAAAGGAGUAAUCCGCUUUGAGAUGGACCCGCGGCGCAUUAGCUAGUUGGUGAGGUAAAGGCUCACCAAGGCGACGAUGCGUAGCCGACCUGAGAGGGUGAUCGGCCACAUUGGAACUGAGACACGGUCCAGACUCCUACGGGAGGCAGCAGUGGGGAAUAUUGCACAAUGGGCGAAAGCCUGAUGCAGCAACGCCGCGUGAGUGAUGAAGGCCUUCGGGUUGUAAAGCUCUGUCUUUUGGGACGAUAAUGACGGUACCAAAGGAGGAAGCCACGGCUAACUACGUGCCAGCAGCCGCGGUAAUACGUAGGUGGCGAGCGUUGUCCGGAUUUACUGGGCGUAAAGGAUGCGUAGGCGGAUAUUUAAGUGAGAUGUGAAAUACCCGAGCUUAACUUGGGUGCUGCAUUUCAAACUGGAUAUCUAGAGUGCGGGAGAGGAGAAUGGAAUUCCUAGUGUAGCGGUGAAAUGCGUAGAGAUUAGGAAGAACACCAGUGGCGAAGGCGAUUCUCUGGACCGUAACUGACGCUGAGGCAUGAAAGCGUGGGUAGCAAACAGGAUUAGAUACCCUGGUAGUCCACGCCGUAAACGAUGAGUACUAGGUGUAG
rnacentral:rRNA from 1 species